GACGUAGGGUGCAAGCGUUGUCCGGAUUUAUUGGGCGUAAAGAGCUCGUAGGCGGUUUGUCGCGUCGGCUGUGAAAACCUGGGGCUCAACCCCGGGCCUGCAGCCGAUACGGGCAAACUAGAAUUCGGUAGGGGAGACUGGAAUUCCUGGUGUAGCGGUGAAAUGCGCAGAUAUCAGGAGGAACACCGGUGGCGAAGGCGGGUCUCUGGGCCGAUAUUGACGCUGAGGAGCGAAAGCAUGGGGAGCGAACAGG
rnacentral:rRNA from 1 species